GACGAACGCUGGCGGCGUGCUUAACACAUGCAAGUCGAACGGAAAGGCCCCCUUGUGGGGUACUCGAGUGGCGAACGGGUGAGUAACACGUGAGUAACCUACCCUUGACUUUGGGAUAACUUCAGGAAACUGGGGCUAAUACCGGAUAGGAGCUCCUGAUGUAUGGGGGGGGUUGGAAAGUUUCGGCCGUUGGGGCUGGGCUCGCGGCUUAUGAGCUUGUUGGUGGGGUAGUGGCUCACCAAGGCUUUGACGGGUAGCCGGCCUGGGAAGGUGACCGGCCACAUUGGGACUGAGAUACGGCCCAGACUCCUACGUGAGGCAGCAGUGGGGAAUAUUGCACAAUGGGCGGGAGCCUGAUGCAGCAACGCCGCGUGCGGGAUGACGGCCUUCGGGUUGUAAACCGCUUUCGCCUGUGACGAAGCGUGAGUGACGGUAAUGGGUAAAGAAGCACCGGCUAACUACGUG
rnacentral:rRNA from 1 species